rfam:Gossypium raimondii Chr09_contig_1782, whole genome shotgun sequence.
UGUUAAAAAAUUCUUCCAUUUCUACUGUCAAAAACUGGUAUGGUUGACAGAAUAACCAAACAAUGACACAUGGCAAGCCACGUGUACCUUAUACCAGUUUUUUACAGUACAAAAUGGUUGAAUUUUUUAGUU